GGCCGACGGCGGGACCCAAAGGGCUUUUCCCUGGAAGGACACCCUUCGGUCAGGGUCACACUGUCUCUUCAUCCUCGCGAUGCUGCCUGCGGCCAGCCUGGGGUCCUGCAGCCACCUGUAGGCAAGCAAAUGCUGGAUAUGCCCACGCCAGUGCCGGCCUUCUUUUCACCUACGCUCAUCCUGCCUCCCUCACCUCAGAAGUCCCUGUGAGCAUCAUCUUCACAUGGUGACAGGCGCUCCUGGGUUGGUCUUGGGCCAGGAGUGGUAACACUUGCCUUUAACCCCAGCACUUGGGAAGCUGAGACAGGCAGAUUCCCGAGGCCGGCGGGGUCUACAGAGCAAGUUCCAAGACAACCACGGCUACACAGAGAAACCCUGUCUUGAAACAACAACAACAAUAAGAUCUCAAGUCAACCUGACACAAGCUGGAGUCAUCUGAAAGUCAAUUGAGGAAAUGCUGCCACAAGAUCCAGCUGUCGGGCAUUUUUCUUAAUUCGUGAUUGAUGUGAGAGGCCCAGCCCAUGGUGGGUGGUACCAUUCCGGGGCUGGCGGUCCUGGGUUCUCUAAGAAAGCAGGCAGAGCAAGCCAUGAGGAGCAAGCCAGUGAGCAGCACCCUCCAUGGCCUCUGCCUCAGCUCCUGCCUCCAAGUGCCUGUGCUGUUUGAGUUCCUGUCCUGCCCGUCUCCAGUGAUAGACUAUAGAUGUGGAAGCAUAAGCCAAAUCAACCCUUUCCUCUCCAACUUGCUUUUGGUCCGGUGUUUCACCGCAGCGACUGUAGGCAGACAGCAGUCUUAGGGCUUCCUGGCAGAACUUCACACAUACUGCACAAACGCUCUGCUAAUCACCGACAGCCCUGAUCCAUUUAUUUUGUUUUAUGACGGAGUCAUGCCAAGUUGCCCAAGCUGGCCUCAAAGUUCUGAUGCUUCUGCUUCAGCCUCCCAAUUUACAGGGAUUAUGGCCCAUUUUAAUGGGAUCCAUUUAUGGCUGCAAAAUCAUGACUUUCUGAAUUUAUCAUUCUACCUUUAUUAAACACUUUGCCAUUAAGAAA